rnacentral:rRNA from 1 species
CCUACGCGUGGCAGCAGUGGGGAAUAUUGGGCAAUGCGCGCAAGCCUGACCCAGCAACGCCGCGUGAAGGAAGAAGGCGUUCGGGUUGUAAACUUCUUUUCUGAGGGACGAAGAAAGUGACGGUACCCGAGGAAUAAGCCACGGCUAACUACGUGCCAGCAGCCGCGGUAAUACGUAGGUGGCAAGCGUUAUCCGGAUUUAUUGGGUGUAAAGGGCGUGUAGGCGGGAGCGCAAGUCAGAUGUGAAAACUCAGGGCUCAACCCUUAGCCUGCAUUUGAUACUGUGUUUCUUGAGUGCUGGAGAGGCCAUCGGAAUUCCGUGUGUAGCGGUGAAAUGCGUAGAUAUACGGAGGAACACCAGUGGCGAAGGCGGAUUGCUGGCCAGUAACUGACGCUGAGGCGCGAAAGCGUGGGUAGCAAACAGGAUUAGAUACCCUGGUAGUC